rnacentral:rRNA from 1 species
UUCUCCUGGGGAAACGGGUGGUAAUGCCGGAUGCUCCAGUUGAUCGCAUGGUCUUCUGGGAAAGCUUUCGCGGUAUGGGAUGGGGUCGCGUCCUAUCAGCUUGACGGCGGGGUAACGGCCCACCGUGGCUUCGACGGGUAGCCGGCCUGAGAGGGCGACCGGCCACAUUGGGACUGAGAUACGGCCCAGACUCCUACGGGAGGCAGCAGUGGGGAAUAUUGCACAAUGGGCGCAAGCCUGAUGCAGCGACGCCGCGUGAGGGAUGGAGGCCUUCGGGUUGUAAACCUCUUUUAUCGGGGAGCAAGCGAGAGUGAGUUUACCCGUUGAAUAAGCACCGGCUAACUACGUGCCAGCAGCCGCGGUAAUACGUAGGGUGCAAGCGUUAUCCGGAAUUAUUGGGCGUAAAGGGCUCGUAGGCGGUUCGUCGCGUCCGGUGUGAAAGUCCAUCGCUUAACGGUGGAUCCGCGCCGGGUACGGGCGGGCUUGAGUGCGGUAGGGGAGACUGGAAUUCCCGGUGUAACGGUGGAAUGUGUAGAUAU